UCGGUUUAGUUCAGUAUCUGGGAACACGCCUGAGAAGACUUACUAUCAACCUACGAAUGACUUCAGAACUAAAGUCAGAUUAAGACUGUCACAGGCAGAGCUGUUUGGGAAUGGAGCCCUUACCACCUUUCACUGGAGAAUUUCAGGAGAAUGGCAAGACUGGAAGUGCAGCAGAAACAACUGGACCAGCUGUGUUGUGGUAUGGCAAGAAUGCUGUGAGAAGUGGGCCAGCCCUGCCUGUGGUGGCAAGCAGCACAGCCCGGGUAAAAAGCUUAUCCCAAAGUUUAGACUUCAAAUUUUCAUUACAACCUCAGUCAAUGUGAAGAUACACAAAAAUAUGUUUAAAAUCCAGAUGUUGCUGACAUCUACAGUAGGGGCCCUCUGAGCCUGGAAACUUAACCCCCAAACGUUUCCUUGCAUUGUCAUAAUCUCUAAAUGAAAAUGAAGGGAAACAAAGAGAAAAUGAAAGCUGAAAUUAAUAGAAACAGUUGGAAAUGUUUCCCUUUCAAACACAGGUGAAAGGAUGAGCUUUUUCACAGGCUAGAAGAGUCAGGCAGCUUCUGGUCUGCUCAUUAGCUUUUGGAUCACCAGGAAGAAGUAAGAUUUGCAAGCAUUCCAGGUUUAGACUUUUUAUCUCCCUGUGCUCAUAAAAAAUUCAAAACAGUUUACAAAUGGUGAUGUGCAGAGAGACUAUAAUUUAAUGUCUAAUAUCUUACAGAUGAAGAAAGAAAUAGCACUUGUUUACAUCUGAAAUCUCAGGGUACAUAGAAUAUUAUGAGUGGGAAGGGACCCACAGGAUAUUUGAGUCCAACCCCUGGUCCUGCACAGGACAACCCCAAAAAUCACACCACACAUAUAGAGUAUAUAUUUAGUGUUCAGUGACUACGUAUUUCAGCAGAAUAUACAAUUAAAAGUACUGCUGUCUCCUAAUUAUGGGGGCUGCUUUUAUGAAUCUCAUCAGAAUUAGCUGAUACUAGUACCCUUCAACGCAGGUGUAAAACUGUAUCUUUCUACAAAGUGAAUUUCUAAGUGCACAAUAACAUUUUUUAGCCAAAACCUCCUUUAAUCUCUCUACCUAGAGAAAAGUACCUGGA
ensembl:lncRNA